rfam:Eutrema salsugineum unplaced genomic scaffold scaffold_10, whole genome shotgun sequence.
AAGCCGUGGUGUGGGCAUUGGUUAGUGUAGCUUCUAAACCGUUCCCAAGCUUCACAAAAUCUCUCGUUAUUGUGCUGCGUGAAACUUGAGAUCUGAUUCCUGAGCUU